AAAGACAAUUCAUCCAUGUUCGAACCCUCCAGCAAAGCCACUGCCGGACUCCCCGUGCCAAGUUUUCUAAGGUCUAACUUUCCAGGGAGGUGACUGCAAGACCAGCAGCGUCUCCCAAGUACAGUGGAAACUAACGGAGAAGUUGGCUUAUUUACCCCUUUUACAUAACUCAAAAUAUCCUUCUAGCUACGUAAAAGGGGGAAAAAUGAAAGCCAGCCUGGGCUCCAAGCUCUGUUACUAUUUCAGUGGAGAGAAAGGCAGGGAGGCUACCGUUCAGCCGGUUUAGCAGAAAUCCUGGAAGUCUGUCGAUCAACCAGAGGAUAUUUUCUUGUCCUGGCUUGUUUUGGAGCUGGUACAAGAGCUGAUAGUCUUAACCCUGUUUAAUUUAUGUAGCUCCAGAAAGAAAAGUUGUCAGGGCCUAUAAAAUGAAGAAAAAGAAAAGCCAAGGAGACCAGGGACAUGUCCAAACCUCCUCCAGCGGCAGUGUCACCCUGCUCAUCAGGGUAUAGGACUCCACGCCACCGACAACAACAGAAAAAAACAUCUGCUCUUGGCAGCGUCCUGGCUGGGAUAAUGGCCCGCCGAGCGCAGCAGCGCUGCAGCCCCAGCGCCUGCCAGCGUCUACCGCGGCUGUGCACAAGUUAGUUUGAUCGUGGUCAGCAUUUGCAGGACCCUGUAACGCCAUCUAAUCAAGUCCAAGUCUCAAAGAAAGACUUUGUUAAAAUCACCCCAGGCCUGUGUAUUCUUUUCUUUAAAGAAUUACAAUGCAAAGUUACUGCUUUAUAAAACGUGGAGCCAGGAAUUUAUCCUGAAGUUGAAUGUCACCAGUUUAUGUAUGUUUGCUCUCACAUUUGAAGACUUUCUCUGUAGCCUUCUGUUCUGUUUAGAAAAGCGGAUUCUUUUUUUCUGCUCCUUUUCAAGCUCUGUUUAAUCAUUGUUUAUGAUUUUGAUAGUUUUCUCUGAGUUCUUUACAACUUAAUUAUCAUAUCUAUCACUACAAUGAAUAAAACGAUUUACUCACUCCUCCAAGUCUUUGAUACUGUUUACCUAUCCAGAUUGAAAGCCAACCAUGCUGAAUGUAGGCUUGCAUUAAGCAUUUAGUUUGGAGCUAUUAUGACUAGAGAUCCUUUGGAGUUACUUUCUGAUAGAGAGAGAGAGAGAGAGAGAGAGAGAGAGAGACAGAGACAGAGAGACAGAGAAACAGAGAGACAGAGACAGAGAUUCAGAGGCACAGAAAUUGUUCCUAUUUGCUCCAGUUUUCCUGCCAAUAGCCAUAGGGUGUGCCACGUCUAAACAUCUAUCACUGGAAAUAAUGAAACCAUAACUCAGCAUUUUAUUUAUGAACCAAAAGAAUUUAUUAAAAGAAACAGAGCUCAUGUUAUGGAUGAAAUAAAAUGUGUUUCCUUAAAACAUAAUCCUAUAUAUGUGCUGUAAAUCUAAUUCUGUGAAGUCCUGGUAUUUUUUUAAUGCACUACUUACACAUCUGCCUUGUGUCUUAUCAUCCAUGAAUUGAGAUUAAAACAAAAAUGAACAAACAAACAAAGACCCAAAACAAGUCUCCUACAAAGCAAGAAGGUAGCUUUGUUCCUUUCAUGCAGAUCUUCUUUGUUUUUUUAGGAUCUGUUCAUCUUCUAAAUUUCUGUACUUAGUCUUUGUUCUCUGUGCAUGUCUACUGAGUUUUGUAUUUUGUUUAAAUUAGAGAUAAAUAUUUUCCUCUCAAGCAGUACGAUGAGAUUAUAAACAUAGACUAUUUUCAUUUAAAUGUAAGCUCUGUGACUUUGGUCAAUUCUCUUUUUCAUAGCUCAGUUUCUUAAUCUAUAAAAUGGGGAUAGAAAUCAUCCCUAACAUUCAGAUUUGUUGAAAGGAUUAAUUGGGCUAUUAUUUCUAACACUUAGAAUUGUACAUGGCCAUAGAUACCUCUAUUUUGAUAGCAGCUGUUAUUAUUCAACUAUGUUACUCUGCAAAAUAUCUGGUUUCUUUUUCUAUCUCCAGUGCCUGAAGUUACUUGUCUCUCUCUUACACAAGUGCUAUAUUUUGCCUUUUUGUUCUGGCCAAAAGAAAGUCUGUCCCAUGUUAUAGCAACGAAAGGAGAUGUGUACUUGUUUUCUUUGUAGGGAAGACGUAGGUCCAAAUUUCUAUUCAAUAUGAACUCCCUUUUCCUAAUGAUGAAGGACCUUGUGUUUCUUCCUAUAAAUUACUCAUAAACGUUUUUCCAGUUGUUAUAGGCUUGCCGUCUUUCUUAGAGGCAGGCUAUACUAAAUUAAAUAAACUGUUGUACGUGUGCAAAUAGAUCUUUAAAAAAUAUUCAAUUCCCUGAGACCUUUUCUUCUAUCUUUGUCUCUUAAGAUACUAAUACAAUGUUUGUAUCAGUUUUAGUGUUACAGGAAAUUUGAAGAGAAUAUUCUCUCACUUAAGUUGCUAUUGAAAAACAAUUUAAAAAAUACCAGGCUGAGAACCCAACCUUGCCAGAUUUAAAUGACAGUAAUCACUCCUUAACAAUCAUAUCUCAUGAAUAGUAUAUAUUGUAUAAUGUGUAGUUACAAUCAUUGGUACAUAAUCUAAGGAAGUGUCAUUCAUGUACUUACUGGUAGUGUCAAGCAUGUCAAAUUGAUGUUACCACUGACAAGACAACCAGUAAUCUGAUUUUUUCGUGUGCCCACAAAGCCUGUUGUACUAUAAUAAAAGAGAAAUAGCAUAACCAGAAGGAAAUUGAUUGAUCAGAAAACAUGAGUUGAUCCUUUUGCAAAGUAAUAUAUAUUUUCAAUUUAUAUCCUCUGACCUUUUAGGUAUUUUAAAGUCCGUUUUCCUCUGUUGUAUUCUAAUAGACAUUAACAGGUUCUGAAAUCAGAUUGGCUUAGUAUAUAUCACGGCUCCUCCAUUUUUCAGCACUGAAUUUUAAGUCUAAGGUUUGUCAUCAGUAAAAUGGGGACGAUAACAGUACUUAUAACAUAGGGUUAUUGUGAUCAUGCAGAUGAGUUGGACUACUGUACUUGUACUUGAAGUAUAGAUCCAUGAACAAAUUAAUAGCUAUUAUCAACAUGAACCAUAUUAUCCUUGAUAUAUUUGAACAUUUAAUUUGCCUUUUAAUCUUGAAACUAGUGACUAUUGGUUCUUGCUUUUUAAUAGUGUUGAAGAUUUGAAUGUGACCAAAAAUAAAAAGGUUCAUCUGACUUUUACCCCUAAAGAAACAAUUUCAUACCUGUUUCUUCCGUUACCAGAAUGUAAACAAAAUUCUGAUUCAGCAGUGGUAUUUUUUAAAUAGGUUAUCAUCCUUUGGCAUUUUUAGGAGAUUGGUUCUAGGACCCUUCUCUGAAUACCAAAAUGGUAUACAAAUUGACAGUAUUUGUCUAUAACUUACAUACCUUCUGUAUAUUUUACAAUGUCUUUGGGUUACUUAUAGUUACAAUACAAUAUAAAUGCUAUACAAACUGUUGUUACAGUUUCUUGUUUAGGAAACAAUAACAAGAAACAAGACACAUGUUCAGUGUGAAUAUAAUUUUUCAAAUAUUUGGUCCAUAGUUAAUUGGAUCCAUGGAUGAGCCAAUGAGAUGAUGUGGAGGACUAAUCAUGCCUUCUAAAUAGAUCUCUUCUUUGAGAUUUGCUUAAAGAAUUUUGAAUUCUUGAGAGUAAUGUGUGUGUUGAAUCACAACUAGUCAAAAUUCAGACACAGGAAAUAUUUAGCUCUCUAUUACGCAGAGUUUAAGAUAAUAUAAGGCAGGACAAUUUGGUAAAAUCAUAAAUCAAGUACAGAGCAUAGAAUAUUACAAAGGUGAAAAUACAAUUAUCACCCAAACUGGGGUAACAGUGUGAAAUCACCACUAAUUAUAAUUUUGUUGUGACAACAGACAUACUGCAACUUCAAGGUAAACACAGGCUAAUGAUCACCCUGUGAAAUUAUUUCUUGUAUCUAUUUUAUGUAAUUUUAGUGCCCGCAAGAAACAACCAUGUUAGUUAACUUACAAUUUUGUGGAUCAAUAAUUUAGGAGUAUAUGGACUCUGUUCUAUAAUGACUGGAUCUUGGCUGUGUGGCCUGGAACCCCUAGAAAUGCUGGAAUAACCUGACUUGGACUGUGUGCUUGGAGACUUGGUUCUGGUGGCCAGCUGGAUUACUUGCUUAUUUAUCUAUGUGCCUUUUGCUAUGGCUCGAAUCAUAUAGGUGCAAAGAUCAAGAAUACAGAGCGCAAAAGAAAGGGAAAAAAGCACAGGGAUCCCUGGAAAAGGUCAUGUAAGCCUAUAUGUACCAAGAGGUAGUACAGCACAGGGCACAGGUCACUGGUGUUUUCAAUAUGGUCUUGACAUUGACCAAUAUGACCCUGAAUCACAUGUUUGAGAAAAGAAAUGCUUUACCUUUUUAAGUCCUUCUGGCUCAUGAGAAAGGAGAAGCUUUCAUUUCCUUCAAUACAAUAUAAGCUGUGAUAAGUUCUUCCCUUAAGAAAGAGGACCAAUCUCAGGCCCAAAUAUGGCACUGGACAGCAGUAUUUAGUAGCAAUAGCACAGUUCUGUUUUCAUUGUAAUAUUUUUCUGCUUUUACCUUGUAAUUUUGACAAGUGUAUUUAAAAAAUAUUAUUGUGAUAUAAAGCUCUCUUUUAAAACAUGUGGUAAUGAUGAUUAUACAAUAGAGUGAAUAAACUAGAAAUCACUGAAAUGUUUAAAAAAAUGUCAUGUGGUGUUUGAUGAGGACCAGAAUCAGAGGGAUUCAGAAGAGCUUGGGCUGCAGCUGCUUGAUGUCCAUACACAGAGAUUCACAACCUCCAGUAAGCAGAGAGAGCCGAUGCCAAAGGGUAUCUAUUAAAAGAGACUUCACAAAUGGACAGUGAAGAAUGAAUCACGGAGCAGAUCAGGUACCCAAGCCUACUCCUGGUCAAUAAGGUGAGAGAUGAGGGCGCGGAGCAGAUGAGCCAACGUUACCCUUUUCCUUCAAGACCUUGA
ensembl:lincRNA